CUACGUGCCAGCAGCCGCGGUAAUACGGAGGAUGCGAGCGUUAUCCGGAUUUAUUGGGUUUAAAGGGUGCGUAGGCGGCCUGUUAAGUCAGCGGUGAAAUCUAGGAGCUUAACUCCUAAAUUGCCAUUGAUACUGGCGGGCUUGAGUGUAGAUGAGGUAGGCGGAAUGCGUGGUGUAGCGGUGGAAUGCAUAGAUAUCACGCAGAACUCCGAUUGCGAAGGCAGCUUACUAAGGUACAACUGACGCUGAAGCACGAAAGCGUGGGUAUCAAACAGGAUUAGAUACCCUGGUAGUCCACGCAGUAAACGAUGAUAACUGGGCGUAUGCGAUAUACAGUAUGCUCCUAAGCGAAAGCGUUAAGUUAUCCACCUGGGGAGUACGCCGGCAACGGUGAAACUCAAAGGAAUUGACGGGGGCCCGCACAAGCGGAGGAACAUGUGGUUUAAUUCGAUGAUACGCGAGGAACCUUACCCGGGAU
rnacentral:rRNA from 1 species